rnacentral:rRNA from 1 species
CCUACGUGGGGCAGCAGUGGGGAAUAUUGGGCAAUGGAGGCAACUCUGACCCAGCAACGCCGCGUGAAUGAUGAAGGUCUUCGGAUUGUAAAGUCCUUUUCUUAGGGAAGAAGAUAGUGACGGUACCUUAGGAAUAAGCCUCGGCUAACUACGUGCCAGCAGCCGCGGUAAUACGUAGGCGGCAAGCGUUAUCCGGAAUGACUGGGCGUAAAGGGGGCGUAGGUGGUGUGACAAGUUAGUAGCGAAACACCGGAGCUCAACUUCGGAACUACAUCUAAAACUGUUGGAGUUGAGUGCAGGAGGGGCAAGCGGAAUUCCUAGUGUAGCGGUAGAAUGCGUAGAUAUUAGGAGGAACACCAGUGGCGAAGGCGGAUUGCUAGACUGUAACUGACACUGAGGCACGAAAGCGUGGGGAGCAAACAGGAUUAGAUACCCGGGUAGUC